rnacentral:rRNA from 1 species
UACGUAGGCAGCAAGCGUUGUUCGGAAUUACUGGGCGUAAAGAGUGUGUAGGCGGUGCUCCAAGUCUGGUGUGAAAUCUCCCGGCUUAACUGGGAGGGUGCAUUAGAAACUGGAAUGCUAGAGGAUGGGAGAGGUAAGCGGAAUUCCUGGUGUAGCGGUGAAAUGCGUAGAUAUCAGGAGGAACACCGGUGGCGAAGGCGGGUCUCUAGUACGGUACUGACGCUGAGACGCGAAAGCGUGGGGAGCGAACAGG